UUGUAGUUUCCCUGUAUUGUUUCAGUGGACGCUGCAGCACCGUCCUGCACAGAAGGUCAAUAUCUGCCCAGAUUCCUGAGUCCAACUCCAAACAACAGAGCUCAGCUCUACACAUCAGUCAACCAGAUGCUGAUGAUCACCAUCAGUUCACAGGCAACUCAAGCCACAUCAUCUGAGCUCCUGUACAGCGGGCCGUACAACGUAACUAAGAGUUCAUUGGGAUCAGGAAGCUUCUCUCUGACGUGGACACCAUCUGUGGCCGAAGGUGGAGAAAGUCACCCCAUCUGUUUCGUUAUCCAGGCAACUGUCUCCAGUUCUCAGUAUCAGACUGAGCUUCGCUG